UACGAGGGGUGCGAGCGUUGUUCGGAAUUAUUGGGCGUAAAGGGUGCGUAGGCGGUUUGGUAAGUCGGGUGUGAAAUCUACAGGCUCAACUUGUAGUCUGCACGAGAAACUGCCGGGCUUGAGUAUGGGAGAGGUGAGUGGAAUUCCUGGUGUAGCGGUGAAAUGCGUAGAUAUCAGGAGGAACACCUGUGGCGAAAGCGGCUCACUGGACCAUAACUGACGCUGAUGCACGAAAGCUAGGGGAGCAAACAGG
rnacentral:rRNA from 1 species